ACAUGCCUACAUCAUAGCAUUAAUGCACCGGAUCCCAUUACAAAUCCGUAGUUAAGACCGCUUAGGCUAGAGUAGUAUUGGGAUGGGUGACCACCUAGGAAUUCCUACUAUUUUACAUGCA
rfam:Picea glauca, whole genome shotgun sequence.